AUACAGAGGGUGCAAGCGUUAAUCGGAAUUACUGGGCGUAAAGCGCGCGUAGGUGGUUUAAUCAGUCGGAUGUGAAAGCCCCGGGCUCAACCUGGGAACUGCAUUCGAUACUGUUAAGCUAGAGUAUGGUAGAGGGAAGUGGAAUUCCAGGUGUAGCGGUGAAAUGCGUAGAUAUCUGGAGGAACAUCAGUGGCGAAGGCGACUUCCUGGACCAAUACUGACGCUGAGGUGCGAAAGCGUGGGGAGCAAACAGGAUUAGAAACCCUAGUAGUCC
rnacentral:rRNA from 1 species